UACGUAGGGUGCGAGCGUUGUCCGGAAUUACUGGGCGUAAAGAGCUCGUAGGUGGUUUGUCGCGUUGUUCGUGAAAACUCACAGCUUAACUGUGGGCGUGCGGGCGAUACGGGCAGACUGGAGUACUGCAGGGGAGACUGGAAUUCCUGGUGUAGCGGUGGAAUGCGCAGAUAUCAGGAGGAACACCGGUGGCGAAGGCGGGUCUCUGGACAGUUCCUGACGCUGAGGCGCGAAGGCCAGGGGAGCAAACGGG
rnacentral:rRNA from 1 species